GAGACGACUCGCUAACGCAGCAACCAAUUAGAACCGUAUUCUUAGAGAUUCCCAAAGACGAACAAUAUUGGGAACUUACGAGAUAUUCUAGAGCAACAGAAACGGCGUUCGUCUGGGUUCUGAUGCUCUGGGUACCGCCAUUUUGUGCCCGAAAACUAUUUACUUCUAUGUUUACAUGCUCACGCGAAAUGUUUUUCUGGUCUGCUUUCUUUGCUGCAAUAGCCACUGCUUUUUCCUCUCUGAAUCAGUAAUUUUCUGUUUCUAUACUUCGAAACUAUUUACGUUUCUAGGAUGCCUUUUGUAUCAGACACAUCAAGAAUCAGGGAUAGAACUUAACAUACUUUUCCAAACUGAUUGGUUCUGUUGUUUAAAGGGCCCCAAAUUGAUGGAGUAAAAUGAGAUAUAAUCAGCUUUCUUCCCACCUUUUCUUGCCGGUCUUCACCCCCCUAAUCGAUGCAUGCAGAGCUCACCCAACGCUCGCCAGUCUAAACAGAUCGAGUCAUCGGGAGGCAGAAAACGGAGGUCAGAUUCGGAGAGCGCCACAUAUGAGGGACAAUCGAGUGAGUCGAUAAAGCACGCUUUACACUCUGCGGCCCCUCAGGAUUGUGGCGUCUGUUCAGAUACUUCACUGAGACUCGGGUAAGCACCUAAAGAAGCCUAAAUACUUUUCCCUUUUUUUUUUCGUUUUUUGGAUUUUUUUUACCUUAGGAGUCUUUGGCACUGGAUAUUGAAUUUGCUUUCAGUGACAUAAGACCGUCAGCAGUAGUGCCUAUGAAACCAGUUUAAUGAUAAUGAAAAUCAACUUUCUAUUUUAUGUUAUUAUUCAAUGGGUUUUUGGUUUGUUAUGAGUUCAAUGGGUGGGUUUGGAAUUUUUUAUCUUCAGCCUUUGUCAUGUAUUUCAGAGACUUUUCUUUUUACCACGUUCAUUGCUUGACUUCCAUAUUUCAGUAAGUUUUGGAUCCUCCUUAUUGACUGAUAUUUGAGUUAAUUUCAUUCUUUAGACAGAGAAAUAGAUUAUCAGGUUCUGUGAUAUAGUCUGCAUUAUCAGCUUAUUGUCUCUUUAUUUUAUCAUUUCUUUCUAAAUUCUGCAUCAUCAGGAUUUUCACACAAUACUUUAUCGGAUCAGUAUUCCACUAAACAAAUACCUUAUUAUUCGCGACUCUUUUUGGUGAAGGGGUUUCAUUUUGUUUUUUGAAAAUGUCUUUGGGUACUCUUGUAGCCGUAUCACGUAAUUUCUGCAGUAUAACCUCGAAAACUUUUGUUAGUUUGUUAACCGUUUAUUUCUGAUAUUUUAAUUUCUUGUCAUGACUGUUAAUCUUAUCGCAAUUACAGUAUUGUAUCAUUUGAAUAACCAGUUGCUCCCAAGAAGCUUAAGCAAUCGGGAAGAUAAAGCAAACUAUAUAUAUACGUCAAAACAUGCAAGUAGAUCAGGCAUGUUCGCUACAGACAGCACCCCAUUAUAAAUGGUCUGCGCUCUGUAAUGGGGUUCAGGCAUCCUUCAACUCGUGUAGCUAGUCUAAACAGGCCUUGAAAUGGUCGGGUGGGAUGGGUUCACUCAGCAGAACAGUGCCAAAAAUUUAGACUGGGUUGAGUCCGUGAAUCUUGAAAUGAUGAGUUUUUCACCGGUAAACAGUUUAUAGGCCUUUCAUUGAUGGCUGGAUUCGUCCUAUUGGCUCUUCACAGGAUUUUGAGAAGCUUGAACUGUUCAAUCUUUGAACCAAGCAGUGGAUUUGCCUUAGAUUUGUCGUAUACAGUCUAUAUAUAAGUGAGUUAACGUGAUACGUUGUUGUGCCUUGCUGUAAACCCUCAUUGUCAUUGGCCGAAUAGCUGAUUUUUUUUAGUGUAGAUCAUAAAUUUCUGUGCUCAUACCUGUUAGAAGCCGUCGUUCUUACUGUGGUAUAAGCUAAGAAAAUCCUCACGACGUUCUUUUCUUUGACUGCACUUUACGUUUCUUCUUUUUCUGUUCCUCCGCGGCUAUGAAAUUGUCAGCUGAUUUCUGUGCUAAUCGCUUUUAGUAGCCUUAAGGCUGAGGAUAUGAUGAUGUACGCAUUGACAGUAGCAGUUGAAUAGGGUGUGAUAAACACAGAGAAAGUCACUUGAUGAUGCUUUCCAUCGGUAUCGACUUUGACUGAGAUCCAGCAUGAACUACCGUCCUACAGACUGAGUGACAGAAACAGAUUAGGUACUGUAUUCGAGCUACUAAUCUUGGUUUAUGGUUUCUUUUUUCUCAUCAAGGUUGCCCUUCUAAGACGCAAGAGGCCUCCUUCAGGCUGCCCGAACACCUCGUCGACAGCUGAUGCUCCAUGAAAGAGAAUGAGAACUUCAUUUUGGCCAGAUAGUCCCCUCAUGGGGCAGCUCGAGGACGAACUCACCAUGAUAUGUGUGCUCAACGCACUUACUUCCCUCGCCCCAACCCCAUUCUGUUGGCGUCAACACACGUGAAAUUACUACGGAGGUAAUGCCACGGAUUAGCAUUCCGGAGAACCUGCUUUUCUCCGGGAUAUACGUGAUUCAUUGCAUGUGGUCAUUCCAUUAUGAGAGCCUUUGUAAGGAAAAAAGAAGCUUCUCACGCGGCCAGGUCAAA
rnacentral:lncRNA from 1 species